CACUCACUUUCUCCAUUCUGAGCCGCUCCUCUCACCUCCCCCUCACAGCUACUCCCAUCCAUGGAACCUCCCCUCCCAUCGACGGUGUCGUCCGGGCCCUCCUCUCCCCGCCACGCCCCUACUCUUUGCUCUCUUUGCUUCUGCCCCCUUCCUCCGCCUUGACAAGCACCGCAGCAGUCGCGACGCAAGGCACAGAAGCGCAGGCUAUCUCGGCCGCCGUUGUCGUCGUCGUCGUCUCGUCGCUGCUCGGAAACGCCGAUGCCCAUGAAGACAACAAGGAUGAAGAGGGCUCCGUCGGCCCUGAGAUCUCCUGCCGCCACUCCCAGGAGGCGGUCGCCCGCGAGGUCCGCACGCAGGUCGACGCCAUGCACCACAGCUUCUCGUGACGCCACGCCUACCGCGCCUCCAGCAUCCUCGCAGAGCUCGCAAAAACGGAUGGGUCUACAUGGAGGACGAACAAGUUCACAGACUUCUCACCAUUCUCGAUGCCGCACCCAUGUGAUUCACAUCUCUAGGAACGUCAUCUCUUCCAUCGUGUGCCUUGUUCCUGGGCAGAGUUCCUGGACAACGGAGUCUCCCCCUGGACCUGACUUUCGCCAAAUGGCCAACUGCUUGACACCUAAACAAAGGGAUAAAAGUAAGAGGCAUGGGGAUGAUGAUGUCAUGGAUAUUUGGUAAAAUGGUAACGGCGAGAGUUCAUCAUGCAGUAAGAAACCACUUGAGCGAGAUGCCGUCGAUGCGCAAGGAAGAUGCGAAGGGGCAGUACUACACUCGCAACCCUAUUGAGGUGGCGGUGGCGGACGCCCCUUCACGAAGACGUCCUUGAAGGUAAUGGGCAGGCGAUGACAACGGCGUGGUGAAGAACUCUUGCGUCCUGAUUCCAGUUCGAUGUCCCGGCUAUCGAUGCAUUUGAGUAUUUGACAGCCGGCCGCAGGGAGAAGGUCAAGGCUAAGCAACCAAGCAGUAGAAUUAUCCCUCCGGUUCUAUCAAUUUUUGCAGUCGUUGUAUUCGCGUUGUGUUCAUUGGCCGGUGAAAGAUUCAGUUUCGCAUAUGGGGAUUCUAAUGUGGAUAUUUGAUUUUCAGUUCAAGUAAUUGGGUUCCUGGUUUUAUUGCCAUUUAUAUCUGUGCAUACAUCCAAUUUCUAAGCAGCAGUGGUACACAGUCAAGUCGACCAGAAGGCUUCGAUUUUCUGCUCGUCGGCGUUAGUCUGUAGUGUACUCAUCUGCCUUUUUUUCCCUGCCCCCUGUCUCCUCUAUGGCUUUCUGAAUCCUGCUGGCAUGUAGAUGGCUUAUUUGGUAUUCUGGAAGAUGUCUCUUGAUUCAUGUAAGUAUUUUUUUUGAUCAAGCUUACCAGUUAAAUUUUCAGAUGGAUCUUCAUUCUUUUCAGAUUUCACAUAUGCUCUAGCUACUCACUAGUCCAAGCUAAAUUGGUGUUUCAUAUACAGAUCCAUGUUGAAUGUGGCGUAUAGAUGAAACCAAACAAGAGGCUCAAAACUAUAUUCUAUUUGUUACAACAUUUUAUAAUGUCUAAUAUAUUCGUCAACUUAUGCAACUUUAGUUUUAUGUUUCAAAAUAUUGCAGAAACUCCAGAUGAUUAUGAGCACGCACGCACACUUUGCCGCUGGUUGGUGUGGAUUUGUGAUGCAGGAGCCUCGUCUUCACAGAGGCAGCAGGUGGGAGAAAGAUUGAUAAAGUGGUGGUGUCCGGUGGCUGGGAGGAUCACACGGAAAGGACGUUAUUUUCUGUACUGUUUACUCAUACAGAAGGGACUUUGCUGAUUUGUGCCUAUCAACUAUCCCUAUGCUUUGAAUUUAAGGAAUCAAUAUGGGCACGUAAUGUUGAGAAGAAGUGGAAGCGUCAAGAUUUACAAUUUUGAAUAUUCCUAAUAGUUGUAUAUAUAGUUUUAUAUUUUGCAAAAAAUACAUGUAGUUUGUAUACUUUCAUCUGUGUAUCAACACUAGCUAGAGCAGGUAAUGACUUUAGAUAGGAACUGGUCUCCUUGUACUUCAACAGUAAGUUUUUGUCUAUUGCAUUCUAUUUUAUGCUGCUGCAAGUUUUUCA